rnacentral:lncRNA from 1 species
AACAUUUUAUGAAAUCAUGAUUUAAGACCAGUACUAUUAGCUCAUUUGUAUUACUUUUUCUAAGCAAAUGUUAUUUUUUUUCAUUUUAAUUUUUAUUUUAUUAUUACAUGAUUAUAGAUUUUAGAACUAAGUUUUGGGUAUAUAUUUUAACAAUGAUAUGAAAAUGCCCUUAAAAGUCUGAUAUUUUAAGCUGUAGCUACUAGAAUCCAAGCAUAAUAUCUUCCCCAUUUUCACCAAAAACACCUUACCUAAUUUCAAAGGCUGAUAAAACGGACCCUAAAUGGCAUGUACUAGGAGAUUUACAGUGGCAAUAUUUAGAGUAGCCAAAACUGGAAAUAGCACAAACAACUUUAGAAAAUGUAAUCUGAAACUUAAAAUGUGAUAUAGCCACAUAAUGUAAUGCAAAAACAAUAAAAAUGAACUACCAUUACACACAAAAAUAUGGCUGCAUCUUACUAACAUAACAUUGUGAAAAAGGAGCCAGAUGAGAAUAUAUAUAUUUUUAACCUGACUCUGCUGAAGUGGGAAAAUGAUUUGCUUAGGCACCACCUUAUAUUCAGGUGUUUGCUUGUAUUUGGAACUGGCUAGCUUAUUCUAGCAUUGAAAUUCUUUGUUUUGAUGUCACCAGGUAUAAAGUAACAUAAUCAAACAAUUCUUACCAUUCCAAUAUAAAGCCAGGAAAGUGACACCUUAGGGAUGGACUGCUGGCUUCCCAUUUGCCCAUGUCCCAAGGUACAGAUUGCCUUGUUCCUUAUUUCAGCUUCUUUUGCAGAGCAGGAGGACCUUUUCAGACCAGACCUAAUAUCACUACCUUUGGACCUCAAGGACGUCCAUGAAGCAACAAGCCUUGGCACUGACACCAGAGACAUGCAGCUCUUUUGUGACUUCACCAUGCCAGCACCCACUCCUUCAGACGCUGUCAAAGACAGAAGAAAGAAGGAUGAAAGACAUAUCUUUGUCAGCUUUGGGACAGGCAUUUGGCACAGAAGUUAAACAAUGGUUGAGACACGUGCAUCCCAUAUGGAAGUACAUGCUUUGUGUAUUGACUCUGCCCCAAUCCAGCUUCCUGAUGAUAUGCACCAGGGAGCAGCAGUGAUGACGCGAGGACGAGGUCCCUGACACUGACUUUGGUCUGGCCCCCACCCUGGCUGUUGAGGGCAUUUGCUGAGUGAAUCAUGUGAGGAGUUCUUUCCAAACUGCCUUCUUCCAUACUGCCUUGAUAUUUGUCUAAUCAACAACAACAACAAAAAUCUAUUCACUUGAAAAGCAGUAGUAACAAAGAAACAAAGAAGUGACAGACAGAUUUUCCACCUGCUGGUUCACCUCCCAAAUGUCUGUAUUUGGGGAUGUGCAACGCUGCAACCACGAGUGACAAAUCCCAUACAGGUGUCUCAAGUGGGUUGACAGUAACCCAAAUAUAUCU